rnacentral:rRNA from 1 species
UCUGGCUCAGGACGAACGCUGGCGGCGUGCUUCAUACAUGCAAGUCGAACGAGAAGUUGACUUCGGUCAAUGGAAAGUGGCGGACGGGUGAGUAAAAUGUAGGUAAUCUGCCUUUAAGCGGGGGACAACAGUUGGAAACGAUUGCUAAUACCCCAUAUGAGAUUAUUUGCGAUAAUAAUCUUGAAAACUCCGGUGCUUAGAGAUGAGCCUGCAUCUGAUUAGCUAGUUGGGGGUGUAAUGGACCACCAAGGCGACGAUCAGUAGCUGGUUUGAGAGGAUGAUCAGCCACAAUGGGACUGAGACACGGCCCAUACUCCUACGGGAGGCAGCAGUAGGGAAUUUUGCGCAAUGGGCGAAAGCCUGACGCCAGCAACGCCGCGUGAAUGAGACGGCCUUCGGGUUGUAAAGUUCUGUCAAUAGGGACGAAAGAUGACGGUACCUAUAGAGGAAGCACCGGCUAACUCCGUGCCAGCAGCAGC